GGGAAAGCCAUCAACCGGCUCCACGAGGCCGUGCCUGGCGUCCGGGGAUCCUGGAAGAAAAAGGCCCCCAACAAGGCCCUGGCGUCUGUCCUGGGCAAGAGCAACCUUCGCUUCGCCGGCAUGAGCAUCUCCAUCCACAUCUCCACCGACGGCCUUCAGCCUCUCCGUGCCCGCCACGCGCCAGGUCAUCGCCAACCACCACAUGCCGUCCAUCUCCUUUGCAUCGGGCGGAGACACGGACAUGACGGAUUACGUGGCCUACGUCGCCAAGGACCCCAUCAACCAGAGAGCCUGCCACAUCCUGGAGUGCUGUGAAGGCCUGGCCCAGAGCGUCAUCAGCACCGUCGGCCAAGCCUUCGAGCUGCGCUUCAAGCAGUACCUGCACAGCCCACCCAAGGUGGCACUGCCCCCAGAAAGGUAACAGACCCGCCUCCCCCAUGCCCUGGGGACGCCCCCAGCGACCUGCCCGGGUGCAGAGCCGGCUCCACCUCCUGCAGGCCUCGGCCUCCAUCCUGCCCUUGUCCCUCCCUCCCUGUCCCCGAGAAUGUGGCUCGGCCAGAGGAUCCUGUUUCCUCGGCUGUAACACCCGGGUGAACGCAUCCCCGCCCCCAGGACUGGGGAGGACUGAGCGAGCUGACUCCCCGGUGUGCCCGAGGCUGUCAGCCCUGCCGCUAUAACCAACAUCCCUCCUCCAGACGCACGGCCGGCUCAACGGCCUCUGUCUCACCGCAGAAGAUGUGUGUGGGGGGCGUGUCUGUGUGCUGGUAACGUUAUUCAUAGACGUUGAAGUGUGAAUGUCACGUGUCGCAAAAUAUGAUUCUCUGGAUGUUUCUCAAACACUUAACUUUGAUGAUUUAGAGGCUGAACGCCCAUUCUUAGCUCGUGGGACACACAGAUCUAGGCAGUGAGCUGGAUUUGGCCCUGGGCUGGGGUUUGCCAGCCGGCCUUGGAGAAGGAGGCAUUUAAGUCUAUUCAUCAUUAGAAAGUCACGUUCCUCCAGCGGUGGGAGGGCAGGUGCAGGCCCGUGAGCUCCCAGCCCUGCUGGUCACGCGUGCUCACGCUCACCCCUUUGUGCACAGGGACG